UCCGCACUCACCUCUUGGCGCUGGUGGUGAGCAGCUUAGGGUUCUUGCUCAUGGUGUUGUUCUUCGCUUCUCUUUUCCUCUUGCUCCCUCCGCCGCCGUUGUUGUUGUUAUUGCUGCUGCCGCCGCCGCCGGUGCCGGUGAUGCUGUCGUUGUUGUUGUUGUUGUUUCUCGUCUCUUUCUCAGCUGCCUGCGAGGAACUUGAAGACGAGGAGGAGCUGGUGCUGGCCCUCGAGUCGUCAUCCGACAUCUCCGCCGCUGGCUCGCUGUCACACACUGACUGCACUGAAGCACGACAGUGUCUCACACUCUCUGCUCCCCUCCCACCUCCCAAACAAACAAACACACACACCACUCACCGACAACAACGGAAAAGACAGAGAAUUAAGACGUAGAACUUAACAUAAUUGAAAAAAAAAGAAAGUGAACAGCCGGGCACCAGACGUACACCUGAAGAGAUGAGUAUACCGAGAGAGAGAGAGAGUGAGGAUACAAUGUCAGUAAGAGUGAGUCACAGUGUAUCUGAUGUAGUGUAACACUCACAGCAGCAACGCACAGACUGACACUCACUCACCGAGCAACAGCCCCGUCAUCGGCUGCGCACUGUCAGCUGGAGCUGCUCCAGUCCUGGGGUGGUUCAGGGGGGACUGUCCUCGCAUCAAUAACAAAACAGACAGUGUCCCCACACUUUUGGACAAUCCGGGAGAAACAACCGCUGCACCGCACGGAUUUGAAGAAUGAACCCCAGGUGUUGACUUUUGUAUUUCUUAUACUUUCUCCCCCCCCCCCGGUGUGUUUCUGUCCGCCUCUUACUUUAUUUCCCUCUUUGUUGGGUUCUUUUGCUCCUCUGGUAAUCGGGAUAGCAAUUGUCGCCGACCUGGCGGCUGCCGGGGCUGGUACAGGGUCAGACGCGUGUCUCACUCAGACAGAGAAACGAACGGAAGUACACCGACCACAAAUACACGGAGGAGACAGGGCUGCUCUGGACCUGUCAUAAGAUUUUGGAAAAAGACAGAUUUCAGUACACUUCUCCUGUUACUACUUCAAAAGAAUUAAUAAGGAAUCAAAAUGAAUUGCUUACUGUAACCUGGAGGAGGUUAAUCAUCUGUCAUGACGAGUUUGGAUUUUUCAGAAUUCACCUGGUUUAGCCUUUGUAGGCUCCAACCACACAUCAGGAACUUGAACAUGUCAUCUAAGAACUUCAGUGCGUUGUUGUUGCAGUAUACUCUGGUUUCUCUUAAGAUCAUAUAAAAAAAUGUAUGGUGCAAAGUGAAUACUAAAUUGUUGGAACAACUUUCCUUUGAGGUAAACAUUAGUCUGAGGCCUGCAUUUUGUGUCUUUGGAUGCUAAAGUUACUUGUUAUGGACUAGGCCAGAUCCCCUCGAAACUUUUCAAGAAAGUAGCCCAGACCCUAAUUUUGCUAGUUGUUUUAAGCAGGUGUAUAGUGGAUAUUCUGGGAGUGAUGCAACUGGCCCGACUACUUAGUAUUAAACAAAACAGAAUUUAUUUGCAUACUGAAUGAAACACAAACAAAAGAGAACAGAAUAUAGAAUAACUUAAUCUAUCUGAAAACCUGAUAGACUAUCCCAAUUUAAUGAUGCUGUUCCAAAUACUUGCAACAAUCCUUAUAAACAGCCCUUAGCACCAAAGGAAAAAUCAAACACCGUCUUCCAAGAGAGAUGUUAGACAGAGGGGGGAUAGGCAUGGACCUCCUUUUUGGUGCAGAAGUUUCACAACUCUGCCUGUUAAAACCAAACCGAACCAGAGAAAAGCUGAUCGGGGAGAAUUGGCCACUCCUCUUUCAUUGUCCAAGUGUUUUUUUUUAAAACUUAAAAGCUCCUUCAAGUAGAUCAACCCCAGAUCUUUUGGAACCUGUGUCUUUAUGACCUCCUAAAAUACAAAACCAAGGACAACAUUAACCUUGUUAAAGAAGCAGCAUCGUCACAUAUUAUAUAGCAUUAAUGGCAGAUCAAAACAUUUUCUUUGCCAACUGGACAGCAAUCCUCUUUAAA